UGGGGAAUAUUGCACAAUGGGGGGAACCCUGAUGCAGCGACGCCGCGUGAAGGAAGAAGUAUCUCGGUAUGUAAACUUCUAUCAGCAGGGAAGAAAAUGACGGUACCUGACUAGGAAGCCCCGGCUAACUACGUGCCAGCAGCCGCGGUAAUACGUAGGGGGCAAGCGUUAUCCGGAUUUACUGGGUGUAAAGGGAGCGUAGACGGAAGAGCAAGUCUGAUGUGAAAGGCUGGGGCUUAACCCCAGGACUGCAUUGGAAACUGUUGUUCUAGAGUGCCGGAGAGGUAAGCGGAAUUCCUAGUGUAGCGGUGAAAUGCGUAGAUAUUAGGAGGAACACCAGUGGCGAAGGCGGCUUACUGGACGGUAACUGACGUUGAGGCUCGAAAGCGUGGGGAGCAAACAGG
rnacentral:rRNA from 1 species